rnacentral:rRNA from 1 species
GACGAACGCUGGCGGCGUGCUUAACACAUGCAAGUCGAACGAUGAUGCCCAGCUUGCUGGGUGGAUUAGUGGCGAACGGGUGAGUAACACGUGAGUAACCUGCCCCUGACUCUGGGAUAAGCAUUGGAAACGACGUCUAAUACUGGAUAUGACUGCCGGCCGCAUGGUCUGGUGGUGGAAAGAUUUUUUGGUUGGGGAUGGACUCGCGGCCUAUCAGCUUGUUGGUGAGGUAAUGGCUCACCAAGGCGACGACGGGUAGCCGGCCUGAGGGGUGACCGGCCACACUGGGACUGAGACACGGCCCAGACUCCUACGGGAGGCAGCAGUGGGGAAUGUUGCACAAUGGGCGAAAGCCUGAUGCAGUAACGCCGCGUGAGGGAUGACGGCCUUCGGGUUGUAAACCUCUUUUAGUAGGGAAGAAGCGAGAGUGACGGUACCUGCAGAAAAAGCACCGGCUAACUACGUGCCAGCCGCCGCAGUAA